rnacentral:rRNA from 1 species
UCUUACGGGAGGCAGCAGUGGGGAAUUUUGCGCAAUGGGGGAAACCCUGAGGCAGCAACGCCGCGUGGAGGAUGAAGUCCCUUGGGACGUAAACUCCUUUCGACCCGGACGAUAAUGACG